rnacentral:rRNA from 1 species
GAUGAACGCUGGCGGCGUGCUUAAUACAUGCAAGUCGAACGGACAGACGAGAAUGUUGGGUCCCUGAGUUUAGCAGCGGACGGGAGAGUAACACUUGGAUAACCUUCAUUUUGGACUGGGAUAAGUUCGGUAAAGCUGAUCCAGUACAGGAGGUUCUUCUGAAUGGCAGGGGUCAGAAGUGUAAGACGGUCUGGGUGGGACUUGUGGAUUGUUCGACGCUGCAUUAGAUAGUUGGUAAGGUAACGACUUACCAAGGCAACGAUGGAUAGCCGACCUGUGAGAGUGAUAGGCCACCCUGGAGCUGGGCCACGGUCCAGGCUCCUACGGGAGGCAGCAGUAGGGAAUCUUCGGCAAUGGGCGAAAGCAUGACGGAACAACGGCGAGUGAGUGAUGACGGUCUUCGGAUCGUAAAAAUCUGUUAUUAGGGAAGAACAUAUGUGUAAGUAAAUGUGCACAUAUUGACGGUAACUAAUCAGAAAGCAACGGCUAACUACGUG